UUGCAUCACCUUUAACCACUUAAUUUUUUUCUUCAUUUUCCGCGAUUUAGAGGUUUUUCGUUUACAAGUCUGUCCAUCCUUUAAUCUUGCAUUUCGUAAAUAAACAUUAAAAUCGCCGAAAUAAAUUUUCCAAACUCUCUUCCAUAUUGAAUUGCUAUGGAGUUUGGUUCUUCGAUUUGGGUCUGUCGAGGUACACAUAUUCCUAUCUUACUCCACUUUAAUCAUUUCUUACGUUCCUCCGUGUCCAUACCAUGUAUUUUUUGAUCUGCUAACCUCGCUAGGUUUAUACUACCACAGCCAAACACAGGACUGUUCCCACGCCUUCGACCCAUACUUAGACUUAGUUGUUUGCUCAACGAAUUCACAACAAUAAUGGCUCAUUUUUAUGUUAGGUAUUUUAUUACGCCCGGUUUGGCCUUAUAUGGCACUACGUGGCCCGAUCACCCGAUUGCUGACCAGACGUCCUAACGUGGUCAAGCCUGAUCUUGUCACUCUACACUUUGAAUAUUGUGUUGUCACUACAAAAAGUCUCUUAAAACCGUGGUCUUUACUUGGCAAUAUGCAUGCACGCUCUCGGUUUUUUUCUCACCGUGCUAUUCUUGAUCGAUCCAACUAGAGCAGAUUGCAAAGGACAAUUCUCUUACAGUCAAUCUACAUCAAGCGUUCCUCUAUUGAGAUUUUCAAACACAUUCACUGUCUACCAUUUAUACCGUGCUCUCAAUGAGUCUAUUCAAUUCAGUUAUAAUUACUUCCAAAUCAAAAGGUAUGUCAAAUGAAGACAUCUCUUGAACUACGUCGCUCAUAAAAGUGUCCCGUG